rnacentral:lncRNA from 1 species
AGAGAGAGAGAGAGAGAGAGAGAGAGAGAGAGAGAGAGAGUGUGUGUGUGUGUCCCUGCUAUCAGCUAACAUGUUGGUGCUAUUUUUCUUCUGAUGUGACCUUACUCCAGAAAUGUUCUUCCCCUGCCUGUGCACUCUGGCUGCUCAGGCAGUGCCUGCCCCACUACCGGGGUUUCACAUGAACAUUUCAUGGACCUGGUUUGCCAACUACAGCCAGAGCUUUAUGAUAAAGCAUAUUUUACAGUUUGUUUUCUUAUGGUUCUGAAUUUUCUACUAAAAGGCUACUUGGUCCUCAGGGGUUAUUAGGAAUAAGACUACUCGUCAUCACGGUUUGCCGAGCAGAUAUCUGGUCCCUACUUCCCCUGCUCUGAGCUUUCCUGAGCUGCCCUGGGGUGGGACCAAGAUCCUUCCUGCUCAGAAGAGUGUAGGUUCAGCUGGAGUCUGUCUGUCAACAGCGAGUAGGACCCUGAAGCUGAGCUCUGUCUCAAGAGAAUCAGGUAUCUUUAUCCCUGGGGAAGCAGAGUGUGUGUGAGGGCAGGGCAGCCAGCUACCCACUGAUGAGGCUAUGGAAUUGCUCUUUUGUUUUGUUCUGCCUUUUUCUGUUUUUGAAUCCAGGACCUCAUACAUACAGUACACAGAGUACCACUGAGUCACACCCCAGCUUUGGCAAGUGCUUUCAGCUCCCUAUGACUUUUUCCUGACUAGCCCAGGCUGAACCAAGCCUUCAGCAUGCUAACAGAUAAUGAGGGCCGUCUAGGAAAUGACCAAGCUUCACUUGAUGGCAGAUUUGAGUUUUAGAAGUAGAAGUAGCCUCCCUGGCUCGUGUCAAUCAGAAAUUGGUAUAAUACAGAGAUUGAAUUUGUAAGUGGCUAAAUAGGGGUCAUAAGCCCUUAUAUUUUCCAAGAAUAAAUACUUUUACUUUUAAAUAAUAGGAUGUACACACUGGUGCGGGGUCGGGGUCAGAACUCUACCUGGGUGGCUUCCAGGUGGCACGUCCCCAUAGGAUGGUAAGAGUGAGCCAGAUCCCUGGGACUGGAGUUCUGUCACCUGUGCCACAGGUAGGUUUAUAUGGUGGCUCUCCCAGGUGAGAAGCUUGUUAGAGGUGCAUUUUCUGUGGAAUCAUUAGGAGAGGGGCUAGCAGCCACCCCCAGGUUCCAGUGCAUGCAUUGAAGGCCAUUGCUGCUGUAUUGUGCUCCACCUACAGGGAAACAUUCCUCAGAGGGUUGUCCCCGCUCUGCUGGUAAUCCUGACACUUGAUGCCAUCACACACUUGGAAACUUCUAAGACAUACUUGUGUAAAAUAAACUCAACUAGUCAUCCGUAGAGGUGACAUUUUUACACCUUGCACUUCUGCUCUUGAGGUCCUGUUGCAACCGUGUGACAGAAUUCUAUUCAGUAUUAAAGUGAGAAGAAGACCA